rnacentral:rRNA from 1 species
AUACGUAGGGGGCGAGCGUUGUCCGGAAUGAUUGGGCGUAAAGGGCGCGUAGGCGGCCCGGUAAGUCUGGAGUGACAGUCCUGUUUUUAAGAUGGGAAUUGCUUUGGAUACUGUCGGGCUUGAGUGCAGGAGAGGUAAGUGGAAUUACAAGUGUAGCGGUGAAAUGCGUAGAGAUUGGGAGGAACACCAGUGGCGAAGGCGACUUACUGGACUGUAACGGACGCUGAGGCGCGAAAGUGUGGGGAGCAAACAGGAUUAGAUACCCUGGUAGUCCACACUGUAAACGAUGAAUGCUAGGUGUAGGGGGUAUCGACCCCUUCUGUGCCGCAGUCAACACAAUAAGCAUUCCGCCUGGGGAGUACGGCCGCAAGGUUGAAACUCAAAUGAAUUGGCGGGG